GUUUUCAUAGCUUAAUUAUUAGAGCGUAGUAUUGAAGCUACUAAAGUAGACUUUUGUCUUAAAAACA
rnacentral:tRNA from 1 species